UUUCAGAUUUCAGAAACCCAUCCAGACACUUUAACCAACAAAAGAGGAGACCUUUUUGUUGAUCAUUGUAUAUGUAAAAGCUUUUGCUGUUACGAAUUAUACCACCAUCUUAUUGGAAGCUCCCACAAUUAUUGAAUUAGC